CUUUAUCCCAUCUGGCAAACAUUGUUUUCAGCUGUUCUGCCUAAGGACUAGAGAGAUAGAGACUACCAGGGCUCCUCCCACUUGUCUUUUCUUCCUCUUCUGCUUCCUAGCCAUGCUCUGGGAAGGCUGAAUAAUAGGGUGGCCUACUUAGUGGAUGAUGGAAAGGCUGUGGAUGCUGUCUACCUGGACUGUAGUAAAGCCUUUGACAUUGUUUCCCACAGAUUUUUCCUGUUCACUGACCUAUGGACAACUUUGCCAUAGCUUUUUGUUUUGGGAGAUGACACCAUGCUUCUAGUCCUGGGCAAUUAAACCCAGAAUCUUCUACCAGCUCUCAUGGAUAAAAAAACCCCAAACAAACCAACCAACAAACAAACAAAAACCCACAAAAAGCACAAUAGAGAUAUAGACUGAAUUUCAGAUUUUUUCCUCUAUAAACCUGUUUGCUUCCUUCACCUUAAAUUCUGGAGCAUCUUUCCAAAACAAAUUUUUGAACCCAUAUGUUCUGAUGAAGACUGUCACACCAGCUCAACUGCCUUAUCAGACACCAGAUUCUACACUGGAAGUGUGAAUGCCCCACUGAAAAGAAAAAAAACUGACAGAUUGGGAAGAUUCAGAAAUAAAACAAGAAGACACAGGAAGGUGAGCUUCUUAAAUUUUACUGCUCACAAAACUACUUAUUUUUCCUGCUUGCAGAUUUAAAGACAUAUGACUGAGCUGUCACAGUGGCAUGGAGGAGACAUAAUGAACCAUGAAUUGUGCUGUCUGACUUAGUCUCAGCUCUCCAGUGCUUCCAAGAAACCGAAGCCUCCAAACAAAACAAGUUGCUUUCUUUCUUUUGGUUUUGAUUUAUUUCAGAAAACGUGACUUCACAUUCAUUUGUACUGAAAAGAAAUAAGGGACAGUGCACUUCUCUGUUUUAAAACUUCAAAAUAUGCUUAUGAAAUGGGACUUGCUUACAGUAUUAUUCAAACACAAGAAUAUUUUAAGUCGUAUUGUACUGGAUUUGGAGCUAUGUCUUCUGCACCCCUCUUGAAACAGGUUGAUUUGGUCCCCAGGUAGAAAAUCUCCAGAGGUUUCUUUUGAUGAUACUUCAGCAAGGUAUUUUUCCAGUUUGUGGUUGAGACUUCCAAAACCAGUGAUUUUUUUUUCUAUAUUUAAUACACCUCAACUACUGUGUCUUCUAAUAAUUUAUUCAGUUAUCCCUUGAGUUCAGCUGAAACCUUAAGCACCCACAGCACUCCUGAAAAAGAUGCUGCAACCCUCGCCCACAUUGUAUGAGCACCAUCUCCCUUUUCACUUAGUCCUUUUCACUGUUUUAAAUCUGUUACCUCCCAAGUUUCUUUGUUGCCUCCCCAUCCUUGCACUACAAGGGGUCAGUCUUUAUUAAUCCAGUACAUGGAGCCACUGUGGUAAUGCUCUGUUCCUGCUGACUUUUCAAAAAUAAUUUCAUUCUGUUUGGUUACAUGUACCACUGUUCAUGCUAAUAUACUGAAUUCUUCUCUCUCUUCACCUCCAUUUGUAAGCCCUGCUCUGAGCAAGGUUAUAUGGCACAGAAAAAAUAAGUUGGCUUUGAAAUUCUUUUGGUACAGUAUUUUGAGUGGCAGUUCAUUUUUUCUAUAUUUUUCCAUGUUUUAUCAUGUGUUGCUAUAUUUCUGUAGGGACUGUGUCCACAACAGGUUAAAUAGGUUGUGUCUCUAAUAUGUUUUUUGAGGUUUUAAAGUGAAUACUGUGAUUGUCUCCUUAUGGUGCAUUUGGGUUCACUUUCCAGAAAGUUUUCAUGUAUCAUUUUAUAAGGAUUUAAUCAAAUUUCUUGGUAAUUUUGUUCUUUUAGGUAAUAUGAAGUUUUUUACUGCCUAUUUGAAAACAUAAUGUAUUCUGACUUAUCUCAUACAGAUAGUGACAAAGUUUCCAUUAUUUGUUUUGUUUCAAAUGUUAUUUCUCCCAACUGUAGAACACUGUAAUUUCACUGCUUUGGUGAUUAUUAGGUUAGUUUGCAGAAAAAAAAAAAUCUGUUUUCAAUGGAUUAUAAUGU